GUUUGAUCCUGGCUCAGAUUGAACGCUGGCGGCAGGCCUAACACAUGCAAGUCGAGCGGAUGACGGGAGCUUGCUCCUUGAUUCAGCGGCGGACGGGUGAGUAAUGCCUAGGAAUCUGCCUGGUAGUGGGGGACAACGUUUCGAAAGGAACGCUAAUACCGCAUACGUCCUACGGGAGAAAGCAGGGGACCUUCGGGCCUUGCGCUAUCAGAUGAGCCUAGGUCGGAUUAGCUAGUUGGUGGGGUAAUGGCUCACCAAGGCGACGAUCCGUAACUGGUCUGAGAGGAUGAUCAGUCACACUGGAUCUGAGACACGGUCCAGACUCCUACGGGAGGCAGCAGUGGGGAAUAUUGGACAAUGGGCGAAAGCCUGAUCCAGCCAUGCCGCGUGUGUGAAGAAGGUCUUCGGAUUGUAAAGCACUUAAAGUUGGGAGGAAGGGCAGUAAGUUAAUACCUUGCUGUAAUGACGUUACCGACAGAAUAAGCACCGGCUAACUCUGUGCCAGCAGCCGCGGUAAUACAGAGGGUGCAAGCGUUAAUCGGAAUUACUGGGCGUAAAGCGCGCGUAGGUGGUUUGUAAAGUUGGAUGUGAAAGCCCCGGGCUCAACCUGGGAACUGCAUCCAAAACUGGCAAGCUAGAGUACGGUAGAGGGUGGUGGAAUAUCCUGUGUAGCGGUGAAAUGCGUAGAUAUAGGAAGGAACACCAGUGGCGAAGGCGACCACCUGGACUGAUACUGACACUGAGGUGC
rnacentral:rRNA from 1 species